ACUUAGACACUGAAAGACCCCCGGAGUUGGGGAGACCCUCACUCAAGUCUCGGGAUGACGCAACCCCCCAAGAACUCACACAAGACC
rnacentral:pre_miRNA from 14 species